rnacentral:rRNA from 1 species
UACAGAGGGUGCAAGCGUUGUCCGGAAUCACUGGGCGUAAAGGGCGCGUAGGCGGCCUGAUAAGUCGGGGGUGAAAUUCUGCGGCUUAACCGCAGGACGGCCUUCGAGACUGUCGGCUUGAGCACGGUAGAGGCUGGUGGAAUUCCCGGUGUAGCGGUGGAAUGCGUAGAGAUCGGGAAGAACAUCGGUGGCGAAGGCGGCCAGCUGGGCCGU